UCCUUCUGUUAGUUUCUAAGUACAAUGAUAAAGAAGAAGGCAAAGCAACAAAGGUCCUUUGAUGGUCAGCUCUUCUGCAGCGGCUCCUCUUCAUUACCUGGAGCAAUGAGUUCAACCCGUUGGGACGGGUUUGACUCAGCAGCCUCACAUGAUAGGCGGCGAGCAGCGAGCCGGAGCUGGGAAGAGGAGGGCCCGCGGCCUAAACGGAUCUGCUCCCGCCCAGAGGACCUGCAUACACGUACAUCACAAAUCAACGACACUACAACAGCCG